GCCUAGGUGGCUCAGUCUGUUGAGCAUCUGACUUCAGCUCAGAUCAUGAACUCACGGUUCAUGAGUUCAAGCCCCAUGUCGGGCU
rnacentral:tRNA from 1 species